ACGUUAGCGGCGGACGGGUGAGUAACACGUGGGUGAUCUGCCCUGCACUCUGGGAUAAGCCUGGGAAACUGGGUCUAAUACCGGAUAGGACCAUGCUUUAGUGUGUGUGGUGGAAAGUUUUUUCGGUGUAGGAUGAGCCCGCGGCCUAUCAGCUUGUUGGUGGGGUAAUGGCCUACCAAGGCGGCGACGGGUAGCCGGACUGAGAGGUUGGUCGGCCACAUUGGGACUGAGAUACGGCCCAG
rnacentral:rRNA from 1 species